UGAGUGCACCCACCCAUUAGGAAUUCCAGCAGGGCAUUGUGGGUGGGAUGAAUGGGGUCAGAGCCAAGGAAUGAAUGCCGCCAACCCCCCUCUGCACUGGCACAGAAAUGACUAGAAGGCUGUUCUGUGCUGCUGCUGUCCUCUUCCCGCUCUAGAGGAACAUCACGCGCUUGUG
ensembl:lncRNA